CAUAACUGUUGAUGAAUAAUAUUUUCAAGAAUAAUCAUGAGCUUAAAUUACAUUCAAGAAAUUCAGAGCGAUGGAAAAUUAAUACAAAGGUGAUACAUAUGUGGGAGUAUAAAGAGAGAGAUGUGACCACAUCAAUUCACUUAAUCCUGGUGGACGAAAAAGGAAUAUCUAUAAUGGCUUGGACGGGAAAAUUUACAAUGCCAACUCAUUCCAAUUCCUGUGUGUUAGGAAAACCUUAUUUUCUAUUCAAAAUUUGGUGUUAAUCCUGCAGUGGGUGAGUAUAGAUCAACCAAACAUGAAUGGAAGAUGUUCUUCUAUAAUACAUCUAUAAUCGAAGAAAUUCCAAACUUGAAAAUUAGCAAAUCCAUUUUUUUUAACUUUGUUUCCUUCUCUGACAUUCUCGAUAAUGUUCAGAAUGACAAGUUUCUUUGCCUUUUUCUAUUCAUUAACAGAAAAAUUUUAAUUUUGGCAAAGUAAUUACUUUUAUAUCAGAUGUGAUUGGUGAUGAUUAUAAUGAAAAUUCCCUCUAAAAGACUUUGGGAUCACUUUGCUGAAAGGGCUUAUGAACACAUCAAGCAUAGAGAAAUUGUGAAUGAAAGAGUUAUUAUGAUAUUGCAGUAUGCCAAAAUGAAGAAUUGGACAGUCAAAAUUUCCAACUUCUUUUCCAAUUGAGCUCGAAUCCCUAUUCGAUCGGCGUUACUUAUUCCGCUACAAAGUAACUAACAACUUCAACAUUGAGAAAGGAAGCCGAACAUACACUGUUAAAAGGCUAACAAAGGAUCCUAGCAUUAUUGAUCAAUUUCUUGAGAAGAAUGAGGUUUCUCAAAAUGAGGGAAAUAAAAUUUCUGAGACAAAUUCGAUUCAAGAUGAAAACUCUAACAAGACACCAUUCAAAAGGAUAUAUCAAGAGGUCAAAUCAUGGAUGUAGAUAUGUCAUGUACAAAGCUCCCAAAGAUUGAGAAAUAGUCAUCAAAUUAGAACACUUUAAAUAUAUUUUAUUCAAUAAAGUCUUAGGGUUGUUUGCUUUUGAUUAUCUGAAUACUUAUUAUGUGUUUCCGGAAUAUUCAAUUUAAACUUUUGGCAUAUUCUUUUAAAAUAGAUUAGUAUGUUAUCCAUGGAUUAAACUACUUAUACUCUUUUUCUUAUUAGUAUUUCUUGUUUUUGCCUUUACCUUUUUACAUACUAUUUUUUAUUCGUUUCUACCUGGUUAUUUUUUUUAUUUGUAUGUAUUUUAUUUAUUUAUAUGUUUUUGACUACCGAGAUUUUUUUGAGAAUUUAUCUGUGGAACUUUCUCCAGUCGAAGAACUCUUUAGUCGCACUCUCCUUUAUGGGCAUGAGUUGCCGCUAGGUAUGUCAACGGGUCGGAUCUGGAUCAGAUCCACGUGGACCCAAAUCAAUAUCCAUUAUCAAUAGCAAGAACCAGAUCUAGACCCGAAUCCGCGGGUUUACUUUUUCAAGAUCCAUAUCCGAAUCCGUGGAUACUGCAAUCCAGUAUCGGAUUCAGGUCCAAAACGGGUCUGACUUAUUUUUUGCGUUUUUUUAUUUUUUAUUUUAUUUUUGGAUUGUGUUGAGAUUGCCAUAAAGCUAUAUUCAUUGAAUCAUGAUAAUAAUAUAUAUAAUUUCACAAUCGAUCACCCAAAAAACAUUAUACAACUUAAAAUUGUCUUGAAAUACCUAGUGAACACUGAAUUGCGGAUUUUGGGGUCUUGACUCUUGUGGAUUAGGGUUUGGCCGUUUGGGAAGAGAGUAAGAGUAAGGGAUUGUAUCACAUUACAGAAUAUAAGGGAUUAAGGUAAAAAAAUAAAGAUUGUAUCACAUUACAAAAUAUAAGGGAGUAAGGGAUUCAGACUUUCAGCGGAAGGGUGUUGUCAUGUUGCAAAAUCAGUUGAGCUUUUAAAAAUCCCGAAUCCCAAUCUAAGCCCAGCAUAUUUAAUGCAUAUAAAAUAAAAAAUAGGUCCUACAAAUCCACAAGUCCGGGUUUGGGUAUUUUUUUAAGAUCCGCAUCUAAACACGUGAAAUUUAAAAGGAUUCAAAUUUGACCCCGAUCCGUUGGGUCCAAUUUAGGGCCCAAAUCCUUGAAAACGAAAAUAGAUCUACGAAUCUUGAUCUGGUCCAAUACAGAUUGCCAUCCCUUGUCGCCGCCUUCCUUCCCUCCCCCGACCCUGAUCAUAGUUCUUAUGAGCGCGGGAUACACUAGGCAUGAUGAUGAUGAUGGAUGUUUCUAAGCCUUUGCCUAAAACUGUCCUAGUAGAAGGUGAGGAGGGCCACGUUAUUCAUCAAGAUUAUUUAGUGGGUGCCUCACUUUUGUUAGAAAUGCCAUGUUAUAGGGCAUAUAACCCAAGAAUAGACAUGUUGUGAAGGCUGUCAAGAAGAACACUAUUGUUUUGCCUUCUAUGCCUAUGCAGGAUAAUGUUGCACAAAAAUAAUGGCUACUGGAGUGGCUGGUGGGAGACCUCAG